CAAAUCGAUAGAUCAAACCUCAAUUACAAUUGGUCCUUUAGAUAAAUGAAUAGAUUCAUUUGCAUAAAACCUCGUCUAUUCUAGAAUAUGCCGGCAAUUUAUUCCCCGUGCAAGACCCUAACCAUUGCCGAUCUCCUCUUCUCGGAGCUGAUGACGGAGCAUGCCGGACUAAAUUCACAAUAGGAAUAAUUCGAUUUUUGAAGUAUAUUUCAUUCAUAAAUGGCGAUAUUAUAUUUUUUAGAAUCAAAUAUGAAUGGACUUUGAUUACUUUUAAUAACAGAUUUCCCUGUAUAUAAAGCGAUUGGUAGAUCCACAUUCCUGUGAUGAGGUUAUUCGAUAGAACGAUCGUCCAGUUGGGCGAUAUCUACCAAGAGAAGAAACUCCAACUGGCGGAGAAAAGAUACGAGUUGUCACAGUUAACAUGGGGGGAUUGGGUCUCAUCCGUGAGAACCUCGAGGAAGCUGAUUUUAGUGAUAGUAUUUAUAGCACUUUUCCUAGACAAUAUGUUACUCACUACUGUAGUGCCUAUUAUCCCAAAUUUCCUAUAUCAAUUGAAUCAUCCGCUUACAAUGAAGAAUAUUACAUUCACAGCGAACAAUAUCUCCCAGGCAAACUUUAGCAUUUGUCAAAGGUUGCCGAUUACUGAUCAGCAGAAUGGAUCAGCUAUCUUAGGCUACUAUACUUACAUCAGAGACCGAAAUGAAAUCUGUGUUAACCAAACAGCUAUGGCAGAGUUAGCAAAUGUCCCUGAUGGACCAAUAGAGACAGUAACUGUAUUGUCUGAGAGCCAACGGCACGAGGAUCUUGUCAAUGAAAAUGUAGAAGUUGGCUUGAUGUUUGCUUCUAAAUCUAUAGUGCAGUUAUUAGCCAACCCAUUUAUAGGACCGCUUACUAAUAGGAUAGGGUACACGAUCCCGCUGUUUACGGGGUUUGUUAUAAUGUUUAUAUCAACAAUAAUUUUUGCGUUUGGUGCUAACUACACUGUAUUGGUGAUAGCAAGAGCAUUGCAAGGUAUCGGGUCAUCAUGCUCCAGUGUGUCAGGCAUGGGUAUGCUAGCUGAUCGAUACCCAGAUGACGCAGAGAGGGGUAACGCAAUGGGAGUAGCAUUAGGAGGAUUGGCGUUAGGCGUCCUGGUGGGGCCACCUUUUGGAGGAAUAAUGUACCAAUAUGUUGGGAAAGAAGCUCCAUUUCUCAUAUUAGCUGGACUAGCUCUUCUCGAUGGAGCCCUACAAUUAUUUGCACUAAAGCCAAGCGUUAAGCCUGAACCGGAAGAGGGAGCCUCUCUAUGGACUUUAAUCAAAGACCCGUAUAUUCUCCUCGCUGCAGGGUGUAUAACAUUUGCUAAUAUGGGCAUGGGGAUGUUAGAAACAUCACUUCCAAUUUGGAUGUUAGACACUAUGCAAGCCGAAAAAUGGCAACAAGGUGCCGCUUUCCUCCCGGCUAGCAUAUCAUAUCUUUUAGGGACAAAUGUAUUUGGACCCCUUGGAAAUAGGAUAGGGAGAUGGCUGAGUUCUCUCAUAGGAAUGGUGGUCAUUGGCAUAUGCUUAGUAAUUAUACCCUUUUCGACGAAUGUCAACCACCUCAUUGCCCCACAGUUUGGUCUUGGUUUUGCCAUUGAUACCUUAUUGCGGAACGCCCUCUCUGUUAGUCCCGCCAAUGGCAGGGUUGGGAUUUGCCAUAGGUAUGGUCGAUGCAACAAUGAUGCCACAGCUUGGUAAUCUCGUGGACUUACGUCACGUAUCCGUAUAUGGAAGUGUCUAUGCCAUUGGUGAUGUGGCAUUUUGUCUCGGAUUUGCAAUUGGCCCGGCAUUAAGUGGAACCAUCGUAAAAGCAGUUGGAUUCAGUUGGAUGUUAUGGUCGAUUUCCAUCGUGUGUUUUCUAUACGCACCUCUGCUAUACUUCCUGAGGAACCCUCCAGCCAAGGAAGAACAGCAGUCACUUGUAAUGAACGAAAAGACGCCAGUACAGUACGUGAACUACCACAGUAGGAAGCAGAAUGGAUACACGGAGUUUAAAGACGAAGAAGAAAACUAUGAAGAGGUCGACGGAAAUUGAUGAAUAUAUUAUUAGAUAGAUGAUCUGGCUAAAGUAUAUAUAUAUAUAUGUAAAGGGCGCGUAUAUAAAUCCUGAUGUAUCUGUUGAAUCUAUAGAUUGAAAUUGAAUGAUGAAAUAUUUGCUCUCUCUUGAAGAGAAUGCAAAAUGCAAUACAUGUAAAUUAUUACAUACUGAACUGAUAUCUUGAGAUAUAUCCACUAAGUGACGAUAUGGCAAGAUAUAACGACAUACUAGACAGGUACUAGACGGUGGUUAGAUAACACAUGGAGCUUAAGGAUGGGAGUAAUCUAAUCUAUAUAAGAUACUGUAUGUCCGGAAUUAAAUGAUAACUACUCCAUACGUGAAAAUUUGUGUACAUCCAAUGUUAGUGAUGCGGAAUGGACAGUAAAAUGAGUCGACCCAAAUUAUUCCUAAUCAAAACGUUCAAUGCAGAGUAUGAAGAUAUAUUCAGUAUAUAUUAUGAUUAUCGUUGAGACACCAACUACUCGUAUCUGUAUUAUACUGGCAAGAAAUAAAGUCAUACUAGUAUAAAGCAAUUUAGACCAUUGUCUUCGUAAGUUCGUAUACGUUUGCACAUGUUCUUUUCUGUCGAACGCGACCCGUCGAAAUACAAGAUGGCAUCGAUUUUUAGGAGUA
rnacentral:misc_RNA from 1 species